UACGGGGGGGGCAAGCGUUGUUCGGAAUUACUGGGCGUAAAGGGUUCGUAGGUGGCCAACUAAGUCAGACGUGAAAUCCCUCAGCUUAACUGGGGAACUGCGUCUGAUACUGGUUGGCUUGAGUGCAGGAGAGGAACGCGGAAUUCCAGGUGUAGCGGUGAAAUGCGUAGAUAUCUGGAGGAACACCGGUGGCGAAGGCGGCGUUCUGGACUGCAACUGACACUGAGGAACGAAAGCCAGGGUAGCAAACGGG
rnacentral:rRNA from 1 species